rnacentral:rRNA from 1 species
GUCCUCAAGCUGGAUUUCGCUAAAGCUUUUGACUCGGUUAACUGGGCGUGCCUUCAUCGAGUCAUGGAGGUGCGCGGCUUCCCUGUGAAGUGGUGCGCGUGGGUGGAUGCUAUCCUCCGUUCAUCACGCUCCGCUGUGCUGCUCAACGGAGAGCCGGGGGCGUGGUUCCCGGUCAGGUGUGGGCUUCACCAAGGAGACCCGAUGUCGCCC